rfam:Candida tropicalis MYA-3404 genomic scaffold supercont3.5, whole genome shotgun sequence.
GGGUCAAUGGUGAAGAGGCUAUCAUGCUCCUUUAGGGACAUCAAUUAGCCUCUAAUUUAGGAGUGGUCCCGGGUUCGAAUCCCGGUUGACCCC